UACGUAGGGUGCGAGCGUUGUCCGGAAUUAUUGGGCGUAAAGGGAUUGUAGGCGGUCCGUCGCGUCGAAAGUGAAAACUCAGGGCUCAACCCUGAGCCUGCUUUCGAUACGGGCGGACUAGAGGUAUGCAGGGGAGAACGGAAUUCCUGGUGGAGCGGUGGAAUGCGCAGAUAUCAGGAGGAACACCGGUGGCGAAGGCGGUUCUCUGGGCAUUACCUGACGCUGAGAAUCGAAAGCGUGGGGAGCAAACAGG
rnacentral:rRNA from 1 species